CGCUUAAUUAUUGAACCACCAAAUAUGUUUAGAUAAAUGGAUAUAUGCGCAUAUAUCAUGGCUAUAUAAUCCAGUUGCGCGGGUGGUACCAACCUCAAGUUUGAUUGCAGUUCGCACCUGACGUAAUUUUUAACAAUUGCUAAUUGAACUUAAAACGAAAGUUGCUCCGUUUACUUUUAUUCAGCAGAAACAAUAAAACCUGUCAACUGAUAAUAACACAAGUUACAUUGUUAACUACAUAAUUUAAUUUUAAGUAUGUCUGUUUAGUAUGUUGCUUGCACUAAAAAACAAAUAACGAGACAUAAAUAAAAAGAAAAUGUAAUAAACUAUAUUUGCAUUAUAUGUUGGGUUGCUACAGCAACUCAAUUCACUUGAACGAA